AACACAUUGCCAUCAGGGCAAGCGCUAUACAUCAUCAGGAGAUCUGGACAACAUCUUUUAUACAGAUGGAGCAGCUAGACAUUACUUGCACAGUCAAAAUUGCAACGGAUGGUUGUUUUUAUUGGUAGCCAUCAGGAGAAUCUUUCCAAGCUGCCUAGAAAGAUGGUUGUGUGGAAAAUGUAUUAGGGUGGAAUGAGGCCAUGCUAUUUAUAGAGUGAAUCUGCUGAAAUAGUUCUUUGUGUGAUAAUUCUUUGUCAAAAUUAUCUGAGUCAACACAGCACCUCUUUACCUCUUUUGGAAGAUGGAGCAUUAGAGCAAUUUGGUAUGUAGAAACAGAAAAAUAUCAUUCACGAUCACACAUCAGCUUAGUGAUGCAGUUUGGUCUUCAAUCCAGAUCUCACGGCUCUCAUAGCCGGCUGCUGUUAGGCUAUAGGAUAAAACCCAAAAAAGGAAAUUAUUCAGCACAAGAGAACAUUUGCGAAACAGUCCAUUCACUUUGGUACCAGCUUUAGUGUUAGCUUCAAUUCAGUAAAUUUCAAAGAUCAUCAGGAGUUAUGGCCGCAGAUCAGUUUUGGUAAUAAAAUCUCAAUGUUCCACUUUCUUCAUGUAUCCCAGCUUCUUGCUGUGACUGCUUCAGUUCCUAAGGGAGUGUAACGAAGAAAAGCUGGGCACAGGUAGUGUUGAUUCAAUGAAUUUGCAGCUUGCUUAAAGAUCACCACUCUGCCCUAACAGGAUUUUAUGGGAAACAAAAGAAGAGAGGGGAAACGGCUUCUCUGACGGAACAGAAAUCUUCUGGCUCUGCUAACAGCAAACUUGCUGCCACGUGAUGAUACAACCCAGCAACACAUAAGUAAGCACUGAGAUCAGAUUGGUUCCACAUUCAGUGGAAAAGAAAAAACAAAACAAAACAAAAAGACAUAACCAUCGAGCACCGUUAAAUCACUGCAAUGACCUCCAAAUGAAAAGAUUUCAUGCGGGCAUCACUGGACAAAAAUCCUGUAACGAGUUUUGUCUUGGCAAUGCUCCUCCAGUCAAUGUGAGGGUCUCAAGAACCAGGGCGUGCUUGGAUGCAGAGCAUUACGUGCUCUGGCAGGAUGAGGUGCCCUGAUGAGGGAGACUGAGGUUUCCAUCCAUCACUGCUUUUUCUUCUGCAAUGAAUGUGAUUCAAGGCAUAGUACAUUUGAGUAAGAACAUUGUCCUUCAUUACCAUUUCCCUUUGCUGUUACCUCUGCCAAGUGACAGGAGAGAUAAGUUUUCACACAAAAGAGGAAAAUGAAUGCACUUUCAGCACAGACAUGCAUUUCAAAUUGGCAGUGUGCUUUCCCUAAUGCACACAACGUUAUUCCUCAAACAGAGGCAUUCAACAAACUGUGAGGUGUUUGCGUUUGAUUAUACUGCUGAAGGUUGAAAUAUAAAACAUGAGCCAGGAUUUCAAAACAUGGUAGCUGUGGCCUGGCUGAAAAUGUGUUCCUCAGCUGCUCUUUGGGCUGGAAAUGACCCAGUUGUUACAGCAUGAAGCUUAGUGCUGGCUAAUUUACGCAAUUUCUCUGAAUAGUAAAAAGAUCUGUGCAUUUUUAUACAAAUAAAGUUAUUAAUGUCGUAGUAUGGAGGGUAUCA
ensembl:lncRNA